GAGUCCGUGGCUCAAUGGUUAGAGCGUUGGACUUCUAAUCCACAAGUGGCGGGUUUG
rnacentral:tRNA from 1 species